rnacentral:misc_RNA from 1 species
AAACUUUUAAGUUUUGUAUUGCUAGAAGGUGCUUGACAAAUGUCUUGGUACUUCUCUUUUUGGAAUUACUGUUCCUGGGAUAUUGUGGCUCGAUUACCAACUGCAUCACAACUACUUGAGGGAUAUGGAAAGCUGAUCACUUGCAUUUUGCAAAUUGGUAUUCAUUGUUUGACUUUCACGAAAAGUGAGAAAAAUGGAGAGGGAGAGGUAAUGACAGGAAAAGAAAGAAGAAUGAUAUGAAAAGUCAGGCAGGAGUAUUGAAUAAAUAGGCUUACCUUUGGAUUGGGGGAUUUGAAUUUUAGAGAUUUUACAUAAAAAUAUUGGAUAGAUUAGAUUAAAAAAACUUCAAUCGGGUGUGGAUCUGAAAUAAUCUUUCAAGUUUCAACUAAGAAAAAGGGGUCAUUUUGAAAGAAAAGAAAUAAUUCUAAAAGUGGUAUCAUUUUGCAAGAGUUCAAUUCAUUUAUUGAGGGUCACUAUUAAAAAUCCAAAUACCCCUUAG